rnacentral:rRNA from 1 species
GGUUGACCUCGGAUCAGGUAGGAGUUACCCGCUGAACUUAAGCAUAUCAAUAAGCGGAGGAAAAGAAACCAACCGGGAUUGCCUCAGUAACGGCGAGUGAAGCGGCAAGAGCUCAAAUUUGAAAUCUGGCCCCCCCGGGGUCCGAGUUGUAAUUUGGAGAGGAUGCUUCGGGCGCCGUUCCCGUCUAAGUGCCCCUGGAACGGGCUGUCGCAGAGGGUGAGAAC